rnacentral:rRNA from 1 species
CAUCCUCCAAGGCUAAAUACUCCUGACUGACCGAUAGUGAACCAGUACCGUGAGGGAAAGGCGAAAAGAACCCCGGCGAGGGGAGUGAAAAAGAACCUGAAACCGUGUACGUACAAGCAGUGGGAGCACAGGUUUACCUGUGUGACUGCGUACCUUUUGUAUAAUGGGUCAGCGACUUAUAUUCUGUAGCAAGGUUAACCGAAUAGGGGAGCCGGAGGGAAACCGAGUCUUAAUUGGGCGUUAAGUUGCAGGGUAUAGACCCGAAACCCGGUGAUCUAGCCAUGGGCAGGUUGAAGGUUGGGUAACACUAACUGGAGGACCGAACCGACUAAUGUUGAAAAAUUAGCGGAUGACCUGUGGCUGGGGGUGAAAGGCCAAUCAAACCGGGAGAUAGCUGGUUCUCCCCGAAAGCUAUUUAGGUAGCGCCUCGUGAAUUCAUCUCCGGGGGUAGAGCACUGUUUCGGCUAGGGGGCCAUCCCGGCUUACCAACCCGAUGCAAACUGCGAAUACCGGAGAAUGUUAUCACGGGAGACACACGGCGGGUGCUAACGUCCGUCGUGAAGAGGGAAACAACCCAGACCGCCAGCUAAGGUCCCAAAGUCAUGGUUAAGUGGGAAACGAUGUGGGAAGGCCCAGACAGCCAGGAUGUUGGCUUAGAAGCAGCCAUCAUUUAAAGAAAGCGUAAUAGCUCACUGGUCGAGUCGGCCUGCGCGGAAGAUGUAACGGGGCUAAACCAUGCACCGAAGCUGCGGCAGCGACGCUUAUGCGUUGUUGGGUAGGGGAGCGUUCUGUAAGCCUGUGAAGGUGGCCUGUGAGGGUUGCUGGAG